rnacentral:rRNA from 1 species
AACUUUCAACAACGGAUCUCUUGGUUCUCGCAACGAUGAAGAACGCAGCGAAUUGCGAUACGUAUUGUGAAUUGCAGAUUUUCGUGAAUCAUCGAAUCUUUGAACGCACAUUGCACCCUGUGGUAUUCCACAGGGUAUGCCUGUUUGAGCGUCAUU